rnacentral:rRNA from 1 species
CCUACGGGACGCAGCAGUGAGGAAUAUUGGUCAAUGGCCGAGAGGCUGAACCAGCCAAGUCGCGUGAGGGAUGACGGCCCUACGGGUUGUAAACCUCUUUUGUCGGGGAGCAAAGAGAGUCACGUGUGACUCAUUGAGAGUACCUGAAGAAAAAGCAUCGGCUAACUCCGUGCCAGCAGCCGCGGUAAUACGGAGGAUGCGAGCGUUAUCCGGAUUUAUUGGGUUUAAAGGGUGCGCAGGCGGUCUGUUAAGUCAGCGGUCAAAGCCCGGGGCUCAACCCCGGCCCGCCGUUGAAACUGGCAGUC